rnacentral:rRNA from 1 species
AGAGUUUGAUCCUGGCUCAGAACGAACGCUGGCGGCGCGUCUUAAACAUGCAAGUCGAACGAUCUGUAGCAAUACAGGGAGUGGCGGACGGGUGAGGAACACGUAGGAAUCUACCUAGAAGAGCGGGACAACUUUGGGAAACCGGGGCUAAUACCGCAUAGUACAGAGAUGUUAAAGGGCUAGCAAUAGUCGCUUCUAGAUGAGCCUGCGGUCUAUCAGCUUGUUGGUGAGGUAAUGGCUCACCAAGGCAGCGACGGAUAGCCGGUCUGAGAGGAUGAUCGGCCACACUGGCACUGAGACACGGGCCAGACUCCUACGGGAGGCAGCAGUUAAGAAUCUUGCGCAAUGGGGGAAACCCUGACGCAGCGACGCCGCGUGAAGGAUGAAGGCUUUCGGGUUGUAAACUUCGGUAGACUGGGAAGAAGAACUACGUUCGUUGAGGGCGUAGAGUGACGGUACCAGUCUGAAGCCCCGGCUAAUUACGUG